GUCAUGUGACUGACGGAAGUGGACUAACCACAUGGGAGCAUGAUAUCGAAAAGCCGACCGUCUGGGCAA
rnacentral:ncRNA from 1 species